ACAGUCGUGGCUGAGUGGUUAAGGCGAUGGACUAGAAAUCUAUUGGGGUCUCCUCUCCCCACACAGGUUCGAAUCCUGUCGACUGCG
rnacentral:tRNA from 1 species